rnacentral:rRNA from 1 species
UUACAGGUGUUGCAUGGGCUGUCGUCAGCUCGUGUCGUGAGAUGUUCGGUUAAGUCCGCUAACGAGCGCAACCUCGCUGUGUGUUAUAUGUGUCACGACAGGACUGCUGGUAUUAAGCCGGAGGAAGGCGGGAUGACGUCAAGUCAGCAUGGCCUUUAUAUCCUGGGCUACACACACGCUACAAUGGUCUGUACAAUAGGUUGCCAAGCCGCGAGGCGGAGCCAAUCCAAAAAGCAGGCCUCAGUUCAGAUUGUAGUCUGCAACCCGACUGCAUGAAGAUGGAGUUGCUAGUAACCGCAGGUCAGCUAUACUGCGGUGAAUACGUUCCCGGGUCUU